ensembl:miRNA Mir5127 microRNA 5127
GCUUUCUCUACUUAGUGAAAUGUGGUGACAUAUGGUGACAUUUCUCCCAACCCUUUUCCCAGGAGAGAAGG